GUCUAGGGCCAUGCCACCCUGAAUAAGCCCGAUAUGUGAUCUCAGAAGCUAAGCAGGGUUGGGCCUGGUUUGUACUUGAAUGGGAGACCACCUAGGAAGACCAGGUGCUGUAGGCG
rnacentral:rRNA from 1 species